rnacentral:rRNA from 2 species
UUAAGCGACUAAGCGUACACGGUGGAUGCCCUGGCAGUCAGAGGCGAUGAAGGACGUGCUAAUCUGCGAUAAGCGUCGGUGAGGUGAUAUGAACCGUUAUAACCGGCGAUUUCCGAAUGGGGAAACCCAGUGUGUUUCGACACACUAUCAUUAACUGAAUCCAUAGGUUAAUGAGGCGAACCGGGGGAACUGAAACAUCUAAGUACCCCGAGGAAAAGAAAUCAACCGAGAUUCCCCCAGUAGCGGCGAGCGAACGGGGAGGAGCCCAGAGCCUGAAUCAGUGUGUGUGUUAGUGGAAGCGUCUGGAAAGGCGCGCGAUACAGGGUGACAGCCCCGUACACAAAAAUGCACAUAUUGUGAGCUCGAUGAGUAGGGCGGGACACGUGGUAUCCUGUCUGAAUAUGGGGGGACCAUCCUCCAAGGCUAAAUACUCCUGACUGACCGAUAGUGAACCAGUACCGUGAGGGAAAGGCGAAAAGAACCCCGGCGAGGGGAGUGAAAAAGAACCUGAAACCGUGUACGUACAAGCAGUGGGAGCCUCUUAAUGGGGUGACUGCGUACCUUUUGUAUAAUGGGUCAGCGACUUAUAUUCUGUAGCAAGGUUAACCGAAUAGGGGAGCCGGAGGGAAACCGAGUCUUAACUGGGCGUUAAGUUGCAGGGUAUAGACCCGAAACCCGGUGAUCUAGCCAUGGGCAGGUUGAAGGUUGGGUAACACUAACUGGAGGACCGAACCGACUAAUGUUGAAAAAUUAGCGGAUGACUUGUGGCUGGGGGUGAAAGGCCAAUCAAACCGGGAGAUAGCUGGUUCUCCCCGAAAGCUAUUUAGGUAGCGCCUCGUGAAUUCAUCUCCGGGGGUAGAGCACUGUUUCGGCAAGGGGGUCAUCCCGACUUACCAACCCGAUGCAAACUGCGAAUACCGGAGAAUGUUAUCACGGGAGACACACGGCGGGUGCUAACGUCCGUCGUGAAGAGGGAAACAACCCAGACCGCCAGCUAAGGUCCCAAAGUCAUGGUUAAGUGGGAAACGAUGUGGGAAGGCCCAGACAGCCAGGAUGUUGGCUUAGAAGCAGCCAUCAUUUAAAGAAAGCGUAAUAGCUCACUGGUCGAGUCGGCCUGCGCGGAAGAUGUAACGGGGCUAAACCAUGCACCGAAGCUGCGGCAGCGACGCUUAUGCGUUGUUGGGUAGGGGAGCGUUCUGUAAGCCUGCGAAGGUGUGCUGUGAGGCAUGCUGGAGGUAUCAGAAGUGCGAAUGCUGACAUAAGUAACGAUAAAGCGGGUGAAAAGCCCGCUCGCCGGAAGACCAAGGGUUCCUGUCCAACGUUAAUCGGGGCAGGGUGAGUCGACCCCUAAGGCGAGGCCGAAAGGCGUAGUCGAUGGGAAACAGGUUAAUAUUCCUGUACUUGGUGUUACUGCGAAGGGGGGACGGAGAAGGCUAUGUUGGCCGGGCGACGGUUGUCCCGGUUUAAGCGUGUAGGCUGGUUUUCCAGGCAAAUCCGGAAAAUCAAGGCUGAGGCGUGAUGACGAGGCACUACGGUGCUGAAGCAACAAAUGCCCUGCUUCCAGGAAAAGCCUCUAAGCAUCAGGUAACAUCAAAUCGUACCCCAAACCGACACAGGUGGUCAGGUAGAGAAUACCAAGGCGCUUGAGAGAACUCGGGUGAAGGAACUAGGCAAAAUGGUGCCGUAACUUCGGGAGAAGGCACGCUGAUAUGUAGGUGAAGCGACUUGCUCGUGGAGCUGAAAUCAGUCGAAGAUACCAGCUGGCUGCAACUGUUUAUUAAAAACACAGCACUGUGCAAACACGAAAGUGGACGUAUACGGUGUGACGCCUGCCCGGUGCCGGAAGGUUAAUUGAUGGGGUUAGCGGUAACGCGAAGCUCUUGAUCGAAGCCCCGGUAAACGGCGGCCGUAACUAUAACGGUCCUAAGGUAGCGAAAUUCCUUGUCGGGUAAGUUCCGACCUGCACGAAUGGCGUAAUGAUGGCCAGGCUGUCUCCACCCGAGACUCAGUGAAAUUGAACUCGCUGUGAAGAUGCAGUGUACCCGCGGCAAGACGGAAAGACCCCGUGAACCUUUACUAUAGCUUGACACUGAACAUUGAGCCUUGAUGUGUAGGAUAGGUGGGAGGCUUUGAAGUGUGGACGCCAGUCUGCAUGGAGCCGACCUUGAAAUACCACCCUUUAAUGUUUGAUGUUCUAACGUUGGCCCCUGAUCGGGGUUGCGGACAGUGUCUGGUGGGUAGUUUGACUGGGGCGGUCUCCUCCUAAAGAGUAACGGAGGAGCACGAAGGUUGGCUAAUCCUGGUCGGACAUCAGGAGGUUAGUGCAAUGGCAUAAGCCAGCUUGACUGCGAGCGUGACGGCGCGAGCAGGUGCGAAAGCAGGUCAUAGUGAUCCGGUGGUUCUGAAUGGAAGGGCCAUCGCUCAACGGAUAAAAGGUACUCCGGGGAUAACAGGCUGAUACCGCCCAAGAGUUCAUAUCGACGGCGGUGUUUGGCACCUCGAUGUCGGCUCAUCACAUCCUGGGGCUGAAGUAGGUCCCAAGGGUAUGGCUGUUCGCCAUUUAAAGUGGUACGCGAGCUGGGUUUAGAACGUCGUGAGACAGUUCGGUCCCUAUCUGCCGUGGGCGCUGGAGAACUGAGGGGGGCUGCUCCUAGUACGAGAGGACCGGAGUGGACGCAUCACUGGUGUUCGGGUUGUCAUGCCAAUGGCACUGCCCGGUAGCUAAAUGCGGAAGAGAUAAGUGCUGAAAGCAUCUAAGCACGAAACUUGCCCCGAGAUGAGUUCUCCCUGAGACUUUAAGUCUCCUGAAGGAACGUUGAAGACGACGACGUUGAUAGGCCGGGUGUGUAAGCGCAGCGAUGCGUUGAGCUAACCGGUACUAAUGAACCGUGAGGCUUAACCUU